CGGGGUGCAGCAGGCGCGAAAACUUUACAAUGCGGGAAACCGUGAUAAGGGGACACCGAGUGCCAGCAUCAUAUGCUGGCUGUCCGGGUGUGUAAAAUACACCCGUUAGCAAGGGCCGGGCAAGACCGGUGCCAGCCGCCGCGGUAACACCGGCGGCCCGAGUGGUGAUCGUGAUUAUUGGGUCUAAAGGGUCCGUAGCCGGUUUGGUCAGUCCUCCGGGAAAUCUGACGGCUCAACCGUUAGGCUUUCGGGGGAUACUGCCAGGCUUGGAACCGGGAGAGGUAAGAGGUACUACAGGGGUAGGAGUGAAAUCUUGUAAUCCCUGUGAGACCACCUGUGGCGAAGGCGUCUUACCAGAACGGGUUCGACGGUGAGGGACGAAAGCUGGGGGCACGAACCGGAUUAGAUACCCGGGUAGUCCCAGCCGUAAACGAUGCUCGCUAGGUGUCAGGCAUGGCGCGACCGUGUCUGGUGCCGCAGGGAAGCCGUGAAGCGAGCCACCUGGGAAGUACGGCCGCAAGGCUGAAACUUAAAGGAAUUGGCGGGGGAGCAC
rnacentral:rRNA from 1 species